UACGGAGGGUGCAAGCGUUAUCCGGAUUCACUGGGUUUAAAGGGUGCGUAGGCGGGUUGGUAAGUCCGUGGUGAAAUCUCCGAGCUUAACUCGGAGACUGCCGUGGAUACUAUCAAUCUUGAAUAUCGUGGAGGUAAGCGGAAUAUGUCAUGUAGCGGUGAAAUGCUUAGAUAUGACAUAGAACACCAAAUUGCGAAGGCAGCUGGCUACAGGGAUAUUGACACUGAGGCACGAAAGCGUGGGGAUCAAACAGG
rnacentral:rRNA from 1 species